GUCGGCAGCGUCAGUGUGUAUAAGAGACAGCACCUGACCCCAUGCCGAACUCAGAAGUGAAACGCCGUAGCGCCGAUGGUAGUGUGGGGUCUCCCCAUGUGAGAGUAGGGAACUGCCAGGC
rnacentral:rRNA from 1 species